GCCGGCUUAGCUCAGUUGGUAGAGCAGCGCACUUGUAAUGCGAAGGUCAGGGGUUCGCCCGACCGGCU
rnacentral:tRNA from 1 species